rnacentral:rRNA from 1 species
CUGGCUCAGGAUGAACGCUGGCGGCGUGCCUAACACAUGCAAGUCGAACGGAAACUAGGCGCUUCGGAGGCUUCGGCCAAUGUAUGCUUAGUUUAGUGGCGGACGGGUGAGUAACGCGUGGAUAACCUGCCUCAUACAGGGGGAUAACAGUUAGAAAUGACUGCUAAUACCGCAUAAGCGCACGGAAUCGCAUGUUUCUGUGUGAAAAACUCCGGUGGUAUGAGAUGGAUCCGCGUCUGAUUAGCUAGUUGGCGGGGUAACAGCCCACCAAGGCGACGAUCAGUAGCCGGCCUGAGAGGGUGAACGGCCACAUUGGGACUGAGACACGGCCCAAACUCCUACGGGAGGCAGCAGUGGGGGAUAUUGCACAAUGGGGGAAACCCUGAUGCAGCGAACCGCCGCGUGAGUGAAGAAGUAUUUCGGUAUGUAAAGCUCUAUCAGCAGGGAAGAUAAUGACGGUACCUGACUAAGAAGCACCGGCUAAAUACGUGCCAGCCGCUGC